CCUACGAGAGGCAGCAGUGAGGAAUAUUGGUCCAUGGACGAGAGUCUGAUGGAGCAACGCCGCGUGAGUGAAGAAGGGUUUCGGCUCGUAACGCUCUGUUGGUAGUGAAGAAAGAUAGAGGUAGUAACUGGCCUUUAUUUGACGGUAAUUACUUAGAAAGUCACGGCUAACUACGUGCCAGCAGCCGCGGUAAUACGUAGGUGGCAAGCGUUGUCCGGAUUUAUUGGGCGUAAAGCGAGUGCAGGCGGUUCAAUAAGUCUGAUGUGAAAGCCUUCGGCUCAACCGGAGAAUUGCAUCAGAAACUGUGGAACUUGAGUGGAGAAGAGGAGAGUGGAACUCCAGGUGUAGCGGUGGAAUGCGUAGAUAUAUGGAAGAACACCAGUGGCGAAGGCGGCUCUCUGGUCUGCAACUGACGCUGAGGCUCGAAAGCAUGGGUAGCGAACAGGAUUAGAUACCCGGGUAGUC
rnacentral:rRNA from 1 species